UCUGGAAUCAUUUUGUCUGUGCUAUAUCUACCCAAAUCCUAUUUUUCUCCAGAAGUAACAUUCCUCCAUGGCCAAGAGGUGCAGCACACGUUGUCACCACCUGCUUCAGCAGCAAUGCCGUGUGCGGGUUUCCCGGCGGUGGAUCUCCUCCCACCACCACGCACACACAGUUCACAGCUUCUUGGGAACAUGAGCAACCUUUAACAUGGAAGAUAUCUGAAUGUGGAAUCCUACAAACAGAUGGAUGGAACAUAACGAGCUAUAUUCUUCAGUACUACCACAAAAAAAUUUGUUACAUUAUCAUUUAAGCAUGUUGAAAAAGGAGUCUUGUACUUUGGGUGUGCUUACCUUAAAGAAAGAUUAUAUGAGAAAAUCAUAC